rnacentral:rRNA from 1 species
UACAGAGGUCUCAAGCGUUGUUCGGAUUCAUUGGGCGUAAAGGGUGUGUAGGCGGCGCCGUAAGUCAGGUGUGAAAUCUCGGGGCUUAACUCCGAAACUGCAUUUGAUACUGCGGUGCUUGAGGACUGGAGAGGAGACUGGAAUUCAUGGUGUAGCAGUGAAAUGCGUAGAGAUCAUGAGGAAGACCAGUGGCGAAGGCGGGUCUCUGGACAGUUCCUGACGCUGAGACGCGAAGGCCAGGGGAGCAAACGGG